rnacentral:rRNA from 1 species
AUGAAGAUGGCGACUUGCAUUCGUAAGGUGGCCUCGGAGGAGUUUGGAGUGUCCAGGGGAAGGAGAAGCGAAGAUAAGGUUACCUGGUGGUGGAAUGAUGAUGUCCAGAAGGCGCUUAAAGACAAGAAAGAUUGCUUCAGACGCCUAUACCGGGAUAGGAGUGCAGACAACAUAGAGAAGUACAAGAUGACGAAGAAGGCCGCAAAGCGAGCUGUUGGUGAAGCAAGGGGUCGGGCAUAUGAGGACCUCUACCAACGGUUAGGCACGAAGGAAGGUGAAAGGGACACCUAUAAGAUGGCUAAGAUCCGGGAGAGGAAGACGAGGGAUAUUGGCCAAGUCAAAUGCAUCAAGGACGGAGCAGGCCAACUCUUGGUGAAGGACGAAGAGAUUAAGCAUAGAUGGCGGGAGUACUUCGACAAGCUGUUCAAUGGGGAGAAUGAGAGUUCUACCAUUGAACUGAAUGACUCCUUUGAUGAGACCAGCAUGCGUUUUGUGCGGCGCAUCCAGGAGUCUGAGGUGAAGGAGGCUUUAAAAAGGAUGAAAGGAGGCAAGGCGAUGGGCCCUGAUUGUAUCCCCAUUGAGGUGUGGAAAGGUCUCGGGGACAUAGCGAUAGUAUGGCUAACCAAGCUUUUCAACCUCAUUUUUCGGGCAAACAAGAUGCCAGAAGAAUGGAGACGGAGUAUAUUAGUACCAAUCUUCGAGAACAAGGGGGAUGUUCAGAGUUGUACUAAUUACCGCGGAAUUAAGCUGAUGAGCCAUACAAUGAAGCUAUGGGAGAGAGUCAUUGAGCACCGCUUAAGAAGAAUGACAAGCGUGACCAAAAAUCAGUUUGGUUUCAUGCCUGGGAGGUCGACCAUGGAAGCCAUUUUCUUGGUACGACAACUUAUAGAGAGAUAUAGGGAGCAUAAGAAGGACUUGCAUAUGGUGUUCAUUGACUUGGAGAAGGUCUAUGAUAAGAUACCGCGGAAUGUCAUGUGGUGGGCCUUGGAGAAACACAAAGUCCUAGCAAAGUACAUUACCCUCAUCAAGGACAUGUACAAUAAUGUUGUGACAAGUGUUCGAACAAGUGAUGUCGACACCGAUGACUUCCCGAUUAAGAUAGGACUGCAUCAGGGGUCAGCUUUGAGCCCUUAUCUUUUUGCAUUGGUGAUGGAUGAGGUCACAAGGGGUAUACAAGGAGAUAUCCCAUGGUGUAUGCUCUUUGCGGAUGAUGUGGUGCUAGUUGACGAUAGUCGGACGGGGGUAAAUAGGAAGUUAGAGUUAUGGAGACAAACCUUGGAAUCGAAAGGGUUUAGGCUUAGUAGAACUAAAACCGAGUACAUGAUGUGCGGUUUCAGUACUACUAGCUGUGAGGAGGAGGAGGUUAGCCUUGAUGGCCAGGUGGUACCUCGAAAGGACACCUUUCGGUAUUUGGGGUCAAUGUUGCAGGAGGAUGGGGGUAUUGAUGAAGAUGUGAACCAUCGAAUCAAAGCCGGAUGGAUGAAGUGGCGCCAAGCUUCUGGCAUUCUCUGUGACAAGAGAGUGCCACAAAAGCUAAAAGGCAAGUUCUACAGGACGGCGGUUCGACCCGCAAUGUUGUAUGGCGCGGAGUGUUGGCCGACUAAAAGGCGACAUGUUCAACAGUUAGGUGUGGCGGAGAUGCGUAUGUUGAGAUGGAUGUGUGGCCACACGAGGAAGGAUCGAGUCCGGAAUGAUGAUAUACGAGAUAGAGUUGGGGUAGCACCAAUUGAGGAGAAGCUUGUCCAACAUCGUUUGAGAUGGUUUGGGCAUAUUCAGCGCAGGCCUCUAGAAGCUCCAGUG